rnacentral:lncRNA from 1 species
UCGGAUGCUUUUGCUAGAAAACAUAUUGUCUCAUCAGAGCUUAGUUGACCAAGAUCCACUAUGUAGACAUUUCCUUCUCUUAUUCCGGUCAACUUUACGGCAGAUGUCUUCAAAUCUCUGACUUGACACUGAUUGUUGAGAAAUGUUACUUAUUGACCCUUGUCGCAGAGUUGGCUGAUACUUAGAAGGUUGUGUUGGAGUCCUUCCACAUAAGCUACUUUGCUGAAAGAUACUGCACCAUUUCCAGCAGAGCCAUAUCCUCUUGUUUGCCCGAGCCGUUAUCUCCA